UACGUAGGUUGCGAGCGUUGUCCGGAUUUACUGGGUGUAAAGGGCGCGUAGGCGGGAAUGCAAGUCAGGUGUGAAGUCUAUGGGCUCAACCCAUAAACUGCACUUGAAACUGCGUUUCUUGAGUGUCGGAGAGGUAGAUGGAAUUCCUAGUGUAGCGGUGAAAUGCGUAGAUAUUAGGAGGAACACCAGUAGCGAAGGCGAUCUACUGGACGAUAACUGACGCUGGGGCGCGAAAGCGUUGGGAGCAAAC
rnacentral:rRNA from 1 species